rnacentral:piRNA from 1 species
UGAAGGACAUGAUGCCUAACCUGGAU